ensembl:snRNA U4 U4 spliceosomal RNA
AGCUUUGUGCAGGGGCAGUAUCAUAGCCAGUGAAGUUUAUCCAAGGCACAAUUACUGCUUAUUGAAAAAAUUGUAUUGAAGGUAUAUUCAACACAAUAUGAGGACAGAAUAUCAGACCUAAAAGACAAGUUUGUGGUCAGAAAUCAUCAAAUGAAAGAAAUUUU